ACAAUGGUAGGAGAGCGUUCUAAGGGCGUUGAAGCAUGAUCGUAAGGACAUGUGGAGCGCUUAGAAGUGAGAAUGCCGGUGUGAGUAGCGAAAGACGGGUGAGAAUCCCGUCCACCGAUUGACUAAGGUUUCCAGAGGAAGGCUCGUCCGCUCUGGGUUAGUCGGGUCCUAAGCUGAGGCCGACAGGCGUAGGCGAUGGAUAACAGGUUGAUAUUCCUGUACCACCUAUAAUCGUUUUAAUCGAUGGGGGGACGCAGUAGGAUAGGCGAAGCGUGCGAUUGGAUUGCACGUCUAAGCAGUAAGGCUGAGUAUUAGGCAAAUCCGGUACUCGUUAAGGCUGAGC
rnacentral:rRNA from 1 species